AGUGUUUUUUAACCACUUUCUUUCGUAUUGUUUAUUACUUUUGGUGUUAUCUCCCGUAGUUGUCAUGAGCUAUUUUUUAACCCAAAUUUGAGGAUGUAGGUCAAGCUGAACCAAAGGCAUUUACAUCAAAUUAGGAAUUUGUUGGUCAAGCACCUGCUGUACAUAGAACAACAAUCCAUUACAGCUUUGAUUAUGCCGAGCAGGUCUUCUACCCAUACUAGGCACAGCAAGAGUGCCCUGCUUUGAAGUGUUCUGUAAAUCAUAUGGUUCACAGAUAUCUCAGUGAUAAGGGUUUAGCUGUUAGUGGCCAUUGGUGCGGUACCUUAUUUCCAACAUCAUCAUAUAGAGAAGACUCUGCAUACCUGCACAUUGACAACUGUGUUGGGUGGAAUAAAAACAAUGCAGUCAUUGGGGUCUGAUGUAUUCUGAAGGGAGAGAAACAGCAUUUACUUAAAUGGAAGCAGGUGACAUAAAGUUCAGUCCUGUGUGAGAUUUGGUCUGUGGAAGACCAAAUGGAGGCAGCACACAUCCUUUGUGGAUUGAUGACCUUGGCAAACUGGUUAUAUUCUUUGACUGGUUGGAGUACACCAAGUGACCCCUGAAGUCCAUUCCAAACUUGAGGAAAUAUCAUCACUUCAGAACUUCAGCUGACAACCCAGUGAGUGAAUUCAUGAGAGAGCAUGCCCAGGACAGUGAGAUUGAAGUUAAAAUUGACAAGCCCACAACAAUGGCUUUUCCAUGGAGAGUACCCUGAACGCAUCCAACUAAAAGGACGUAAUGCAAAAAGGCUCUGAUCCCUUAAAUAAGUGAAAAAAACAAUAAACUGAUAUGUAAUCUUUAUAAACUAAAUAUAAGAUUUGAGAAUGAGCCUGUUACUGAGCUGAUGAAAACGUGCAUCAAUUUUUUAUUGACAAUUAUUUAUUCAAUAGAAACAUGUUCAUGUGAAAUGAAGCUACCAGUGAUUUUGAGUGAAAAACUGUGGUUUUAGCAAAUGAGUGAUAGAAGGGUGCUACACCCUGUCUUUUGUUGGUAGAGCCCCUCUGCCAUAUAAUGGAGACCACUAUAUGAUUAUUAUUAAUACAAACUUAAAACAAUCUGGCAGUUGAAGCCUAUAAAUGCUUGAAUUGAAGACAUUUAUCAUAUUGUUUGUCAAUAUUAGUUACUUCACAGCCUGAUAAAAUGUACCUUAGCAACCUUUCAGUUUUUCUUCAAUAUCUUUAUUUUUAAAACCUUCCUGAAACAUUUUCAGCUUUAACUUUUACCUAUGAAUAAACACCGAAAAUAUAAUUUGUCAUGUACUAUGUGACCAAUUGCAUACCUCUUGAGACUACAUAAUGACGUGUACAUGCUAAGUAGUUAGUAUGUUAAAUAAAUUGCUUUCAUUUUUGUAAAAUGUUAAUGUUAUGUUUAUUAAAUUAAAAGUAUACAUACCACCAUUUCAUGUUUUAUGAGCAAUGAAUGACUAUACAAAAAAUCACAUUUGAGGUAAAUUGGUAAAGUUGGUGUGAUUAUAAUCAUGUUUGUGGCAUGUUGCCAUGGUAACCAGGAUAAAAAACAAACCCUUAAAUACCAUUCGAAUGAGAUAAAUUAUAGUAAAUUACAGGGGUAACAUACUUUAACUUUUAGAUAUAUACAUUGGUUUGUAUUAGGUGCAAGUUCCAACCUAAUGUCAAUUUAUUGUGAAAAUUUGCCAAUAAACUACUGUACUUGACAGUUUUUUUUUAUUCUGAUUUUUUUUUGAAUGUCAAAUACAUACACCAUGUACAGUAAGGUUUGAGGAUAUCAAUUAACAAAUCAAUUAUUAUUGAAUGCUUCAUAUGGCAUUUAUUGUAUAUUUAAAUGCAAAUUUAACCCCAAAAUGCCUUUUUCAAUAAUGGUUGCCAUGGUUACCAAUUAAUUUUCAUUUAUUUUCUCAAUAAUAAUUGAGAAUGGUUUUGAAAAUAUAUUGUUGUCGUUAUAAUGUGGGAAUUGUGUAUAUUGUAGUUGUGAAUAUUUAUUGCAUCUGUGAAUACAAAUGUUUCAAUAAAUUCUUGAACUUUACCGAA